AUUGAACGCUGGCGGCAGGCCUAACACAUGCAAGUCGAACGAGUGGCGGACGGGUGAGUAAUGUCUGGGAAACUGCCUGAUGGAGGGGGCUAACUACUGGAAACGGUAGCCAAUAGCGCAUACCACCAGAUGGGCCCAGAUGGGAUUAGCUUGUUGGGGGGGUAACGGCUCACAAAGGCGACGAUCCCUAGCUGGUCUGAGAGGAUGACCAGCCACACUGGAACUGAGACACGGUCCAGACUCCUACGGGAGGCAGCAGUGGGGAAUAUUGCACAAUGGGCGAAAGCCUGAUGCAGCCAUGCCGCGUGUAUGAAGAAGGCCUUCGGGUUGUAAAGUACUUUCAGCGGGGAGGCGUUACCCGCAGAGGAAGCACCGGCUAACUCCGUGCCAGCAGCCGCGGUAAUAC
rnacentral:rRNA from 1 species